rnacentral:rRNA from 1 species
CCCGGGGCCAUACCGGCCCAGACUCCUACGGGAGGCAGCAGUGGGGAAUAUUGCACAAUGGGCGCAAGCCUGAUGCAGCGACGCCGCGUGGGGGAUGACGGCCUUCGGGUUGUAAACCUCUUUCAGUAGGGAAGAAGCGAGAGUGACGGUACCUGCAGAAGAAGCGCCGGCUAACUACGUGCCAGCAGCCGCGGUAAUACGUAGGGCGCAAGCGUUGUCCGGAAUUAUUGGGCGUAAAGAGCUUGUAGGUGGCUUGUCGCGUCUGCCGUGAAAUCCCGGGGCUUAACUCCGGGCGUGCGGUGGGUACGGGCAGGCUGGAGUGUGGUAGGGGAGACUGGAACUCCUGGUGUAGCGGUGGAAUGCGCAGAUAUCAGGAAGAACACCGAUGGCGAAGGCAGGUCUCUGGGCCAUUACUGACACUGAGAAGCGAAAGCAUGGGGAGCGAACAGGAUUAGAUACCCUGGUAGUCCAUGCCGUAAACGUUGGGCACUAGAUGUGGGGGACAUUCCACGUUUUCCGCGUCGUAGCUAACGCAUUAAGUGCCCCGCCUGGGGAGUACGGCCGCAAGGCUAAAACUCAAAGGAAUUGACGGGGGCCCGCACAAGCGGCGGAGCAUGCGGAUUAAUUCGAUGCAACGCGAAGAACCUUACCAAGGCUUGACAUGCACUGGAUCGCUGCAGAGAUGUGGUUUUCUUUGGACUGGUGCACAGGUGGUGCAUGGUUGUCGUCAGCUCGUGUCGUGAGAUGUUGGGUUAAGUCCCGCAACGAGCGCAACCCUCGUUCCAUGUUGCCAGCACUUCGGGUGGGGACUCAUGGGAGACUGCCGGGGUCAACUCGGAGGAAGGUGGGGAUGACGUCAAAUCAUCAUGCCCCUUAUGUCUUGGGCUUCACGCAUGCUACAAUGGCCGGUACAAUGGGUUGCGAUACUGUGAGGUGGAGCGAAUCCCAAAAAGCCGGUCUCAGUUCGGAUUGGGGUCUGCAACUCGACCCCAUGAAGUCGGAGUCGCUAGUAAUCGCAGAUCAGCAUUGCUGCGGUGAAUACGUUCCCGGGCCUUGUACACACCGCCCGUCAAGUCACGAAAGUCGGUAACACCCGAAGCCAGUGGCCCAUCCUUGUGGGGGAGCUGUCGAAGGUGGGAUCGGUGAUUGGACUACCUAUACGACCCCCCGG